ACCAAUCAGUAGUCUGCAGGUUUUCACGUCACCUUUUGUUAUCGGCUUAGCUUGCUUGGAACCUGGACGGAGGUGGUACUAAAAAAAGUACCUGUUGGCAGUACCAGGGACUUUUUUUCAUAAUGGAAAAC